rnacentral:rRNA from 1 species
GAAUCUAUCCGUCGGUCGGGCUUUAUUGUCCGUACUGGCGUGGUGGGUUCUUACCUUCUGAAUAACCAGCAUGCCAUUCACUUGGUGCGCUGGGGAAGCAGGACCAUUACCUUGAAAAAAUUAGAGUGCUCAAAGCAGGCUAGUGCCUGAAUACAUUAGCAUGGAAUAAUGAAAUAGGACGUUGAUCUUAUUUUGUUGGUUUCUAGGAUUGACGUA